AGCGAACGCUGGCGGCAGGCUUAACACAUGCAAGUCGAGCGGGCACUUUCGGGUGUCAGCGGCGGACGGGUGGGCAACGCGUGGGAACGUACGCUCGGAUUCGGAAUAACUCAGGGAGACUUGAGCUAGUACCGGAUACGAACUUCUGGGAAAAGGCGUGCCGCCGGAGAAUCGGGUCGCGUCUGAUUAGCUAGUUGGUGAGGUAACGGCACGCCAAGGCGACGGUCAGUGGCUGGGCUGAGAGGGUGCUCAGCCACGCUGGGACUGAGACACGGCCCAGAAUCCGACGGGAGGCAGGAGUGGGGAAUAUUAGACAAGGGGCGCUAGCCUGAUCCAGCCAUGCCGCGUGAGUGAUGAAGGCCUUAGGGUUGUAAAGCUCUUUUAUCCGGGACGAUAAUGACGGUACCGGAGGAAUAAGCCCCGGCUAACUUCGUG
rnacentral:rRNA from 1 species